rnacentral:rRNA from 1 species
AGAGUUUGAUCAUGGCUCAGGACGAACGCUGGCGGCACGCUUAACACAUGCAAGUCGAACGAGAUCCAUGGAGCUUGCUCCGGAAGAUCUAGUGGCGAACGGGUGCGUAACACGUGAGAAACCUGCCCUAAACUUGGGAAUAACAAUCGGAAACGACUGCUAAUACCGAAUAUCUUCACGACGUCGCAUGGCGAUGUGAAGAAAGCUUUAUGCGGUUUAGGAGGGUCUCGCGGCCUAUCAGCUAGUUGGUGAGGUAACGGCUCACCAAGGCAUCGACGGGUAGCUGGUCUGAGAGGAUGAUCAGCCACACUGGGACUGAGACACGGCCCAGACUCCUACGGGAGGCAGCAGUGGGGAAUAUUGCACAAUGGGCGCAAGCCUGAUGCAGCGAUGCCGCGUGCGGGAUGAAGGCCCUAGGGUUGUAAACCGCUUUCAGCAGGGAAGAAAAUGACGGUACCUGCAGAAGAAGGUGCGGCCAACUACGUGCCAGCAGCCGCGGUGACACGUAGGCACCAAGCGUUGUCCGGAUUUAUUGGGCGUAAAGAGCUCGUAGGCGGUUCAGUUAGUCGGGUGUGAAAACUCUGGGCUCAACCCAGAGACGCCACCCGAUACUGCUGUGACUAGAGUACGGUAGGGGAGUGGGGAAUUCCUGGUGUAGCGGUGAAAUGCGCAGAUAUCAGGAGGAACACCAGUGGCGAAGGCGCCACUCUGGGCCGUAACUGACGCUGAGGAGCGAAAGCAUGGGUAGCAAACAGGAUUAGAUACCCUGGUAGUCCAUGCCGUAAACGUUGGGCACUAGGUGUGGGUCUCAACCAACGAGAUCCGCGCCGUCGCUAACGCAUUAAGUGCCCCGCCUGGGGAGUACGGUCGCAAGACUAAAACUCAAAGGAAUUGACGG